AGAGUUUGAUCAUGGCUCAGAGCGAACGCUGGCGGCAGGCCUAAUACAUGCAAGUCGAACGGUCUCUUCGGAGGCAGUGGCGGACGGGUGAGUAACGCGUGGGAACGUGCCCUUUGGUACGGAACAACUGAGGGAAACUUCAGCUAAUACCGUAUGUGCCCUUCGGGGGAAAGAUUUAUCGCCAUUGGAGCGGCCCGCGUUGGAUUAGCUAGUUGGUGGGGUAAUGGCCCACCAAGGCGACGAUCCAUAGCUGGUCUGAGAGGAUGAUCAGCCACACUGGGACUGAGACACGGCCCAGACUCCUACGGGAGGCAGCAGUAGGGAAUCUUGCGCAAUGGGCGAAAGCCUGACGCAGCCAUGCCGCGUGAAUGAUGAAGGUCUUAGGAUUGUAAAAUUCUUUCACCGGGGACGAUAAUGACGGUACCCGGAGAAGAAGCCCCGGCUAACUUCGUG
rnacentral:rRNA from 1 species